UCUCUUCGCUCCGUCGAUCGAUUCCCGAUCCCCGAUCCCCCGCCCCCUCCUCCCUUGAAAUCUUGGAGGUUCGGCUCUGUUCGAUCAGGAAGGAAGCUGCUUGUUUGCCUACGGUUCUCCUUUGCUGUUGCUCGUUCUCGGACCUCUCGCUGUUGAAAGAUACUUGUGCAGAGGCUUGUCUACAGGGAAUCGCCCCACCUGUGACCAGUGCCUGCGGAUUCACGAAAGACUCACGGAGAGGGCCGGCUUGAGGUGCAUACUUCGUUCCCUAGCAGACACCACAAAUACAGUAUGAUGAUUAUUGCUAUCGUGAUCUGAAGAGAGAAAAGUGCCCACUGUAUGAUUCCUCGCCUCCUUUUCCUGUAGAUUUGGGCUGUGGUGUAUCCGUCAUUGACAUGAAUGUGAUCAGUAUUACGCUUUAUUACAAAGUAUCAUCUCUGAGUCCUUACAAAGCUAAACUUGCUUCGGAUUGCCAGAGAACAUGCAUUCUAUCAUUUCGAGGAGUUGAGCAUUUGUCUACCCUUGA